AAUCCUGGUCAAGCCAAAGUAGCCCAGGAGAACGGAGCAGCGGUUGUGGGAGGAGCCGACCUUGUGCAGAGAAUCUUGGAUUAUGAAGUGGAGCUUCUACGUAGUGGUACUAGAUAUCAUCUCCAAACUACUGCCUCUGAAGAACGAACUACGCAAAGAAGUUCCCCAAGAACAAGAGAGGGUCGGUUGAGUCGACAUUCCCAAGAUGCUGGAGUUGUUCCAGACCUGCCAUGAGUAUAUAGUGGGAGAGGAACGCUGUCAUCACCAGCGUAGGAACGGUAAGUAUGAAGGAAUACUGUCAUCACCAGCGUAGGAACGGUAAGUAUGAAGGAAUACUGUCAUCACUAGAGUAGGAACGGUAAGUAUGAAGGAACGCUGUCAUCACUAGGGUAGGAACGGUAAGUAUGAAGGAACGCUGUCAUCACUAGGGUAGGAACGGUAAGUAUGAAAGAACGCUGUCAUCACUAGGGUAGGAACGGUAAGUAUGAAGGAACGCUGUCAUCACUAGGGUAGGAACGGUAAGUAUGAAGGAACGCUGUCAUCACUAGGGUAGGAACGGGUAAGUAUGAAGGAACGCUGUCAUCACUGAGUAGGAACGGUAAGUAUGAAGGCUUUACAGAACGACCUACGUAUAAUCACCACAACGUUAAAGCAUACUUGUAAUCCUCACAAAUGUCUGUCAGAUUAUCCAAGGUUAAGAGAAUGAUAGUGAAGACAUCAGAACUAUGAACUAAGGUGGUUGAGAGAAUGCCAAGAGUGCAAAGCUGUCAUCAAGGCAAACGGUGGCUAUUUGAAGAAUCUCAAAUAUUAUCCAAGUACCGUCGAGCGCAUCAUUGUUAGUAACAUGACAUGUACCUAUACUAGAGUUACUACGGUGUAAUUUAUGAAUGAAUUAAUAGUAGCAAUAGAACAUAGUUGUAGGAGCCAUUUUGGCCUGUUUAUGAGUUGUGGAAAUGUUCUUUGUCAAGGGUUAUUUUUACUUGUUUUGUACACUGAGGGCACUAUAUGUUGGGGUCAUGGGUCUGUGUGUGUGUGUGGGUGUGUGUGUGUGUGUGUGUGGUGGUAGCACAGGUGACUAGGAAGGGUCAGCACAGGUGACUAGGAAGGGUCAGCACAGGUGAGAGGAGAGGACAUACAGUUGUUACCGUAUCACAGAUACAGCUUAUAGAAAGCAUCUCUCUGCACCUUUUUUCUAUAGGAAUAUGUGUUUGAGCUAUUUAUAUUUUAUAUGUGCAAUAAAUGGGGUCUUCCACUCA